GUCUCUCUUGAGUGGAUCCUGAGUACGACGGAGCACGUGAAAUUCCGUCGGAAUCUGGGAGGACCAUCUCCUAAGGCUAAAUACUCUCUAGUGACCGAUAGUGAACCAGUACCGUGAGGGAAAGGUGAAAAGCACCCCGGAAGGGGAGUGAAAUAGAACCUGAAACCGUGUGCUUACAAGUAGUCAGAGCCCGUUAAUGGGUGAUGGCGUGCCUUUUGUAGAAUGAACCGGCGAGUUACGAUUUGAUGCAAGGUUAAGCAGUAAAUGUGGAGCCGUAGCGAAAGCGAGUCUGAAUAGGGCGUUUAGUAUUUGGUCGUAGACCCGAAACCAGGUGAUCUACCCUUGGUCAGGUUGAAGUUCAGGUAACACUGAAUGGAGGACCGAACCGACUUACGUUGAAAAGUGAGCGGAUGAACUGAGGGUAGCGGAGAAAUUCCAAUCGAACCUGGAGAUAGCUGGUUCUCUCCGAAAUAGCUUUAGGGCUAGCCUCAAGUGAUGAUUAUUGGAGGUAGAGCACUGUUUGGACGAGGGGCCCCUCUCGGGUUACCGAAUUCAGACAAACUCCGAAUGCCAAUUAAUUUAACUUGGGAGUCAGAACAUGGGUGAUAAGGUCCGUGUUCGAAAGGGAAACAGCCCAGACCACCAGCUAAGGUCCCAAAAUAUAUGUUAAGUGGAAAAGGAUGUGGCGUUGCCCAGACAACUAGGAUGUUGGCUUAGAAGCAGCCAUCAUUUAAAGAGUGCGUAAUAGCUCACUAGUCGAGUGACACUGCGCCGAAAAUGUACCGGGGCUAAACAUAUUACCGAAGCUGUGGAUUGUCCUUUGGACAAUGGUAGGAGAGCGUUCUAAGGGCGUUGAAGCAUGAUCGUAAGGACAUGUGGAGCGCUUAGAAGUGAGAAUGCCGGUGUGAGUAGCGAAAGACGGGUGAGAAUCCCGUCCACCGAUUGACUAAGGUUUCCAGAGGAAGGCUCGUCCGCUCUGGGUUAGUCGGGUCCUAAGCUGAGGCCGACAGGCGUAGGCGAUGGAUAACAGGUUGAUAUUCCUGUACCACCUAUAAUCGUUUUAAUCGAUGGGGGGACGCAGUAGGAUAGGCGAAGCGUGCGAUUGGAUUGCACGUCUAAGCAGUAAGGCUGAGUAUUAGGCAAAUCCGGUACUCGUUAAGGCUGAGCAGUGAUGGGGAGAAGACAUUGUGUCUUCGAGUCG
rnacentral:rRNA from 1 species